rnacentral:snRNA from 1 species
AAACUUGCCUUGCGCCGGAUUCAAAGUGAUCAAGAAUGCUCUGACCCCGGGUGGGGGCUCACCAUUGCACCUCGGUGGGUUGAAACUCGCGACGGAUACUAAUUGAGUGCGCUCGGGCGUGUAGGUUUUGUUAGUGGGGAGACAUCACGGUCCUCCCUU